AAAACUUGGACCUUUCUUGUAGAUUGCCUGUAGGGUAUUUUGAAUAUUCGACUCAUUUCCAAUGGAAUCUGGAAACUAGCUCAGGGUUAACAAAUAAUGCUUUGACCCUCUGACGCUAUCUAGAUGAAGUCAUGUUAGCAAGUUGUUCUCUCUUAUUUUUACCCCAAGUAGUAUGAUGGGUGGUUUCCAUUUUCCAAUUCUCUGCAGUCUUUAGUUCCACU
rnacentral:misc_RNA from 1 species